rnacentral:rRNA from 1 species
UACGGGGGGGGUAAGCGUUGUUCGGAAUUACUGGGCGUAAAGGGCUCGUAGGCGGCCAACUAAGUCAGACGUGAAAUCCCUCGGCUUAACCGGGGAACGGCCUCUGAUACUGGAUGGCUUGAGUUCGGGAGAGGGAUGCGGAAUUCCAGGUGUAGCGGUGAAAUGCGUAGAUAUCUGGAGGAACACCGGUGGCGAAGGCGGCAUCCUGGACCGACACUGACGCUGAGGAGCGAAAGCCAGGGGAGCAAACGGG